rnacentral:lncRNA from 1 species
GAAGAAAAAAGGGGUUUUAUGAUUUUAUUUGAGAAGAUACCUACGCUUUAUAUCUUCUUCCUCUCUCGCGAAAGCUCUCACUCUUUCUUCACCAAAACUCUCACUCUCUCUCCACCAAAGCUCUCACUCUGUCUCCCUCGUCUAUUUAUCUCGCUUUUCCUUUCCCCAUCAUUGACGAACUUGGUUCCAUUACCGUUCUCGCUUCUCCUUGUCAACAUUUUUCCCUUUCUUCCUCUCUCUUUUUGUUUGUGUUGUGCUAUUUUCCCCUUCUCUCU